rnacentral:rRNA from 1 species
AACGAACGCUGGCGGCAUGCCUAACACAUGCAAGUCGAACGAGACCUUCGGGUCUAGUGGCGCACGGGUGCGUAACGCGUGGGAACCUGCCCUUAGGUUCGGAAUAACUCCCCGAAAGGGGUGCUAAUACCGGAUAAUGUCUUCGGACCAAAGAUUUAUCGCCUUUGGAUGGGCCCGCGUUGGAUUAGCUAGUUGGUAGGGUAAAAGCCUACCAAGGCGACGAUCCAUAGCUGGUCUGAGAGGAUGAUCAGCCACACUGGGACUGAGACACGGCCCAGACCCGAGGGGGAGGCAGUUGGGGGGAACAGAGAACAAGGGGGUAAGGCUUGCACCAGAAGGGCGGGGUGGGGGGUGGAGGGGUUAGGGUCGUAAGGCUUUUGUACCGGGGAUGAUAAAGACAGUACCGGGAGAAUAGGGCCGGUCUAACUCGGCGCCAGGAGCCGGGGGAGUAAAAGAGCACACUUCUGAUC